CAAAUUAUAGCUUAUAUAAAGUAUUUUAUUUACAUUAAAAUGAAAAUUUUUAAAUUUAAUUUGA
rnacentral:tRNA from 1 species